UCAUAAUUGCUAAUGAUUAGUAAUCAUCAUUAUAAGCCUUCUCAUUUUCAAUUACGCGUGGCCUUGGUGUGUUCCAAUUUCUUUUACCUGUGUUUAUUUUCUUAUUCCAAACUUGCUGGUAUUAUUUAAUUUUGCUGAUUCCUGUAUUCUCUAAAUAAAUAUAGAUGUGCUUGUUUAAUCUUGGAAAAACAUUCACAUUGUUAAAAUAGUUUCUUAGGACAGUGCCUAACACGACUCAAGUCAAUUCAUGUAUCUACUUACAAAUAAUAUUAUUGCAAUAUUAUUGUUAUUUUCCGGUGUCAUUUUCCUACAUUUUAUCUUCUCUUCACGUGUCUCACUAAAUUAACACUCAAGGGUAGAUUUGUAUAAAGCACAUUUCAUUUUGUUAAACCUCACAUAUUCUGAAGUGGAUUAAAUUUGUUAAAAUGACUAAUAUUUGAAUCAGAAAUACUCCGUAAUUAAUUUGCUUAGGUUUCAUAUCUGGUGACUGGUCUUAGUUAAAAGAUGACACGUCGGCCCUUGGGAACAACUAUUAAAGUUUACUCUCUACUGUCCACAAUAAGUGAUUUUUUUGAAUAUUUUUACAGAUUAAGAAAUUCACUUUUUAACAUUAAUUAGCAAUGAAAUUGACCAUAUUAACCUUUACUAUCUCUUCAUAUAAACACCCCUAACACAUACUCCAACACUAUUUACUCCAAGGGCAAUAUAGAAAAAAAAUAAUUAAUUCAUUCUUGAAAUCUGAAAAAAUUACUUAUUUUGGACCACAAAAAAAGCCAAAAAAUCGCUUAUUGUGGAUCGAAGGGAGCAUUUGUUUUUAUUUCUUUGUGGUACUAAUUUAUACGUCCCCUAGGAAAAUGUUUGUGCUACAUGAUUUUCCUUUUUGUUUGGGAAUUAUAGAUUGUUAAAAAUUAAGUUAUCGUAAUUGUUGGCAAUUGUAUGAAGCUACUGUUUCACUGAUUAUAGCAGCCUCUGCCGAAAACGAGUGUAUGAAUUAACACUUCAAAUCACAAUUCACAACCUCCUUUCUUAAAAUAACACGAAAUCUGAGUCAUUCAUAUAUAUCGCAGCUGUAGCUAAAUAUUAUGAAUUUCACUUUAUAUUUAAUAAAUAUAGGAACCACGGGAUAUGAAUGGGUCUUGACCUAUGUUGCUCGGAUCCUUCAAACUGUUAUUGUAGCUGUGUCGAAUCCUCCAAAAAUGUUUAACUGUCACAUGAUCUUACAAUAAGCAUUCAUUGGUAUUUUUGCAGGAUCCGAGCAACUUAUGCUUUAAAAAGGAUAGUUAGGUGCACGAAACAUCCCGCUUUGCAACAUAGUCCGGGAAAGGACCGCAUCCCAAGGGGUAUAAUGUAGACAAUCUACCCUGAUACUUACAUAAGUGGUUGAUUCCAUACAGGGGCGACCCAAUGAUAUUUGGGGCCUAAAGCCAUACUUCAACGAGGGGCCUUAAAUUUUCN
rnacentral:lncRNA from 1 species